GAGAGGGCGCCGGGAGCGCCCGGUUGGGGAACGCGCGGCUGGCGGCGUGGGGACCACCCGGCAGGACCAGGCACCAGAGCUGCGUCCCUGCUCGCUUUCUCUCGUGGAUCUUCUCGCUCCUAUGAUUCCUGCCCUCAAACAUCGGACUCCAAGUUCUUGAGUUUUGGGACUCAGACUGGCUUUCUUGCUCCUCAGCUUGCAGAUGAACUACUGUGGGAUCUUGUGAUCAUGACUGAACUCGUUGUUGGCCACCUGUUUGGAAAACCAUUCUCUUGUGGUUGGAUCUAACACAUACAGCAUGUGAAGGUGAGCACAAAAUGCCGAGGCCUCUGGUGGGAAUGCGUCACAAAUGCUUUUGAUGGGAUUCGCACCUGUGAUGAGUACGAUUCCAUACUUGCGGAGCAUCCCUUGAAGCUGGUGGUAACUCGAGCGUUGAUGAUUACUGCAGAUAUUCUAGCUGGGUUUGGAUUUCUCACCCUGCUCCUUGGUCUUGACUGCGUGAAAUUCCUCCCUGAUGAGCCGUACAUUAAAGUCCGCAUCUGCUUUGUUGCUGGAGCCACGUUACUAAUAGCAGGUAC
rnacentral:lncRNA from 10 species